UCAGCAUCACCGUGUGCGGCCACAGCCUCGGCGCGUCGAUCGCCACCCUGAACGCCGUUGACAUGGUGUCUAGCGGCAUCAACAAGCCCGAAGGCGCCACCAAAUCCUUCCCCGUGACAGCCAUCGUGUUCGCGAGCCCCCACGUCGGGUGCCGCUUCUUCAGGUCGGCGUUCCACUCGUUUCCAGACCUCAAGGCGCUGCAUGUGCAGAACGUUGGCGACGUCGUGCCCCUGUACCCACCUCUGGGGUACGUGGACGUGGCCGUGCAGCUGACCAUAACGACAAUCCGGUCGCCGUACCUGCGUGUGCCGGCCACGGUGGGGACGCUCCACAACCUCGAGUGCUACCUGCACGGGGUGGCCGGGGAGCAGGGCAGUGCCGGAGGGUUCAAGCUCGAGGUGGACCGUGACAUAGCGCUGGUGAACAAGGGUGCCGAUGCGCUCGCGGACGAGCACCCGGUGCCGGCGAGCUGGUGGGUGCCGAAGCACAAGUUCAUGGUCAAGGGGGGAGAUGGGCGAUGGACGCUCCAGGACUUCAAGCACAUCUAAGUUAAGUUACUCGCAUCGGCCAUUCACUAGGAGGAGAGUGGGCGUUGAUGUGAUUCACGGCGCUGUGCUCGUUGCCAAGACCGAGGUUCUAAAUAACGGCUUACGGUUUGUCGACCGUUCCUAGUAUAUUUCCC
rnacentral:lncRNA from 1 species